GCCAUGGCGCCGCGCUGCGGAGCCCUCUCCCGGCCCUUGACCCUUCACCUUUGCCCCUCGGCUCCUAAAUUGACCUUUGACCUCCUCCGACCCCUCACAGCAAUGGCCUCCUCCCUCCGAGGGCCUCCCCCAAAGCCCCUUCACCUCAGGAUGGAUCGACUCCCCUCAAGGCCCGGCCCGGCAGCGACAAAACCUUCCCCUCAGGGAGAAUGACACCUUUUUCCUCAGGUUUUGCCAUAAAAACAGCUUAAAGCAGCAUAAAAGCGAUGGGCAGAGGGAAAUGGAAAUUGCUACAAAACAACAUCAAGGAGGAAGGAUCGGGGCAUCUCGGCACAAUAAAUAGAAGCUUUUCAUUGCCAGGAAGAGAGAGAUCCUCGAAUUCGAGGAAGGGAGCUCGAAGGAAAAGAGAAAAGAAUGAGGAAAAAUCCUGGAAAAUACAGAGCCUCGAUGAAGAGAAGCCCCGUUAUUUUAGUCAAAAGGGCUGGACAAAGGCUGGAUUCUGUGGGAUCAUUCGUGGGACGCAGAAGAUGGAUGGAUCUCUCCUCCAGAAGAUCUUCACCCACCAAAUCCAGAAAUAAUCCCAGCAGCUGCAUUAUUAGAGCCAAAAUAAAUCUAUAUCCUCCUUCUAAAAGGAAA